rnacentral:lncRNA from 1 species
CUGGGCCGCUCACACAGCAGAGAUCUGCUCCCUGGAACUUCGGGGCUGGAAAGCCCCCUUCCAGGCAGAGUCCCUGACGGGUGGGGCCCCGGCUCCCUUCCUGCUUCCCAGCAGCUGUGCUCUUCUCCCUGGAGCCUCUCGGAGGCCUUUUCAGGACACGAAGCCCAUUCCUGAGAGCUUCACCCUCAAAAAUGCAUCACUUCCCAGAGGCCACAGCUCUCACCGCCAUCACCCUGGAGGUCAGGGUUUCAACAGAAGAGCUGUGAAGGGGCACAAAUACCCAGGCCAUAGCACUGCCCACGCAGAACCAGCACAGAACAGUGUGGACAGAAGGUGAAGAAAAUCAUCUUCAAAGCAAGAGAAGCAAAAAUAUCCAGAGCCAAAUACUGCAAGGGCCAAUAAUCCGACAACUUCCUCUGUGCAGUUAAAAUUUCCACACAGAGCCUCCAAGUAUAGUUUUUAUAUUACAAAAAGAAAAGACUAACAUGGUGGUCUGCACAAGCGUGGCAGUCUGUCUGAACUGAUCCUGAAACAACAGUCCAGCCACUGCAGGGCCGCUGAUGCACGUCUCCUCUCCAAGACCCUGUGAAAGUUGAAAGAGGGGAAGACACAGCAAGAAGAGAGCUAAGGGAGCACUGAGAAGGAAGAAGGCCAUGCUGAGGACCGGGCCUCCCACGCUGUGCUGAGCUCCUCGUUUUUGGAAAGGGCUCAGCACUACCUAGACAGUGUUACAGGUGACAGGGUAGGUUGAGUGGUACUAGCUUUGCUUUUUAUCUUAAAAUCUCAGCUUCAUAAGCUGUAAAAUCUCAGAAUUAAAACCCAAUCUGUCUCAAACGCAGUCUAGCUCUUGCAGUUCUUCUUUUUUAGUUUUGCUUGCCAUUUUAUGAAAACAUCUCCAUAAAAGAAAGUUAAAAUAAAACUGUGUAAAACAGCAGGAAGAUUGGGCCCUCGGGAGAGGCGAUGGGACGACUCGGGCCAGGCGUGUCUGUCCACAGCCUGAAGCCCCACUUCCUCUCUGAUCAUCUUUAUCUCCACAGAUGUAGCCAACUACUUCAGAAUCCAGAAUCCAGAGGUAACCCAGGAGGCAGG